rnacentral:lncRNA from 1 species
UGGGCUUUUAGUUUUUUGUUAUCUGUUAUUGUGAUAAUGUAUUUGCUGUUAACUGUUAUUGAAAAUUGGAAUGUUAGCAUUUUUUUGACAGCCAAUAUUCGGUAGAAAUUGAAGAUCAUUGGACAUUGGGGUCUACCACUAGUAAUAUGUUGGUCCCGUAUUCGGAGAAGGAUUCCAUUAACAUAUACCCAUUACAGAAGUGAGGUCCAGGACAAUUCCAGUAUAUCUUAUGAUUAUCCUUUGUAAUAAAUUCCAUUUUUUUGGAACAUGUAUUUAGAAUUAUCUUAUUUUUUGUAUGAGGAUAAUGUUCCUUGUUUCCCGUACCAACAUAUUAAAUCAGAACAAUUAUUAAUAUGACAAAAAGGAAAACAUAUGGCCAGGAAUAUCUGACAAGAAUCUCAAUUAAGGACUAGGUCCUUACAACCAGUUAACCUUUUAUAUAAUAUGGUACAUUGACUCAGCUCUGUGAUUCUUUUCAAAGCAGAACCAAACACAUUGUACAAUGAAAGUUCCAACCAUGUACUGGGUCCCGAAGCAGCACAUAGCUCAUUACAAACAAAGAUUUAUUUCGUCUUCAAGCCAUUGCUCCCCUACUAAACUAUGUAUUCUACUUACUAGUACACUUGGUCCAAUCAAUAGCCUGAUAAAAAAAUUGUUCAAAUUGAGCCUUUGAAAAUAAUGGAAUAAAUUACUUUUGGAGUGUCAAAAUUGGUUCGAGGUACUUGAUAAAUUGCAUGCUUAUAAUUGGUGCUUUUGAUUUUUCUACCCUAUAUACUGACCACUUUGCCUCAUAGUCUUAUUAAGAAAAAUUCACACACCUCAUUAAAUGGGCAUUUAGAAAAAGUCAGAAUGCGAAUAUAUAUAUUCAAACUCUUUUAGGUCAUUUUUUAGUAGCAACAAACACAAGAACUAUGUGAAUUGAAUACCAUAACAGCCCUUGAAUUUUUACUAGAUAUCAUUUUUGUCUCUUUGACAUAUUCCUCAUUUCCAUUCUCAUUUUUUAUUACACACUAUUUAAAUUACAAGCAUGUGUGAGUUUCUAUAACUGUAUAAAAAUAAAUGCUGAAAAAAAGUAUUCUAUAACAAAUAAACAGCUACGCCAUGAGCGCAUGAUACGCCCGUCGCCCUUUUUGAAAUAUUCGAUAACUUCUUUAUGUCAUAUCAGAUAUUUAUAAAAAUUGAAAGGGAGCUUCAGUCAAUAUAUAUAAACAAUACAC